GCUUGUCUCAAAGAUUAAGCCAUGCAUGUCUAAGUAUAAGCCUUUACACGGUGAGACUGCGAAUGGCUCAUUAAAUCAGAAACUGUUUAUUUGAUAGUGCCUACUACUUGGAUAACCGUAGUAAUUCUAGAGCUAAUACAUGCAUUAAACCCCGACUUCUGGAAGGGGUGUAUUUAUUAGAUGGAAACCAAUGCGGGGUAACCCGGAAUAUGGUGAUUCAUAAUAACUUUCGGAUCGAUUUAUCGAUGCAUCAUUCAAGUUUCUGCCCUAUCAGCUUUGGAUGGUAGGGUAUUGGCCUACCAUGGCUUUAACGGGUAACGGAGAAUUAGGGUUCGAUUCCGGAGAGGGAGCCUGAGAAAUGGCUACCACAUCCAAGGAAGGCAGCAGG
rnacentral:rRNA from 1 species